UGCGUAGGUGGCAAGCGUUGUCCGGAUUUACUGGGCGUAAAGAGCUCGUAGGCGGUUUGUUGCGUCGGCUGUGAAAUCCCGAGGCUCAACCUCGGGUCUGCAGUCGAUACGAGCAAACUAGAGUGUUGCAGGGGAGACUGGAAUUCCUGGUGUAGCGGUGAAAUGCGCAGAUAUCAGGAGGAACACCGGUGGCGAAGGCGGGUCUCUGGGCAACAACUGACGCUGAGGAGCGAAAGCGUGGGGAGCGAACAGG
rnacentral:rRNA from 1 species